rnacentral:rRNA from 1 species
GUGCCAGCAGCCGCGGUAAUUCCAGCUCCAAUAGCGUAUAUUAAAGUUGUUGUGGUUAAAAAGCUCGUAGUUGAACCUUGGGCCUGGCUGGCCGGUCCGCCUCACCGCGUGCACUGGUCCGGCCGGGCCUUUCCCUCUGUGGAACCCCAUACCCUUCACUGGGCGUGGCGGGGAAACAGGACAUUUACUUUGAAAAAAUUAGAGUGCUCCAGGCAGGCCUAUGCUCGAAUACAUUAGCAUGGAAUAAUAAAAUAGGACGCGCGGUUCUAUUUUGUUGGUUUAUAGGACCGCCGUAAUGAUUAAUAGGGACAGUCGGGGGCAUCAGUAUUCAACUGUCAGAGGUGAAAUUCUUGGAUCAGUUGAAGACUAACUACUGCGAAAGCAUUUGCCAAGGAUGUUUUCAUUAAUCAGGAACGAAAGUUAGGGGAUCGAAGACGAUCAGAUACCGUCGUAGUCUUAACCAUAAACUAUGCCGACUAGGGAUCGGACGGUGUUAUUCAUGACCCGUUCGGCACCUUACGAGAAAUCAAAGUGCUUGGGCUCCAGGGGGAGUAUGGUCGCAAGGCUGAAACUUAAGGAAAUUGACGGAAGGGCACCACCAGGGGUGGAGCCUGCGGCUUAAUUUGACUCAACACGGGGGAAACUCACCAGGUCCAGACACAAUAAGGGAUUGACAGAUUGAGAGCUCUUUUCUUGAUUUUGUGGGUGGUGGUGCAUGGCCGUUCUUAGUUGGUGGGGUGACUUGUCUGCUUAAUUGCGAUAACGAACGAGACCUUAACCUGCUAAAUAGCCCCGCAUUGCUCCCGGCAGUGGCGCUGGGCUUCUUAGAAGGGAACUUUC